UGCAGUUCUUUCACAUACUCCUUUGUUCCUGAGCAGCCAGGAGUUUUCAGUUUGUUUCUAAGGUGCUAAAAGAGGAUCAGAGUGGCCUGAGCUCAGGGAUGCUUCAGCCGAAGCUCUAACAGGACGUGUCUUUUAAUAGAAUGAAGGUGUGAUGAUUCUCAGUGCACUGUAGAGUUUGUUCUUCAGGAAGACAAAGGAAGCACAGUGCAGAACUGUUGCAUCUGGAGCUUCUCCCACAGCCAGGGAGAGACUGUCAUGGACAUGGAAGCUGAAGCUCUGGACAUGAUGAUGGAGCCGUGAAAGCAGAACCAGCUCUGCUUCAGAGUGUCUUGCUAUGAUGCUCAAAUAUGCAACACUUGUUUUCAGCAAUGAUUAGCUUGACCCUCUGCUCUACAAAUGCUAAUCUACAUCUGUGUCUUAUUCUGGAACAGAGCCCAAAGUCCUGGAGCUGUUGUAGCUCAGCACACAAUUGCAAAAGGAGGAAUAUGAUGUGGUUCUAGAAGUGCAGCAGAAGGGAGGAAGCUGCAGUCCCCCAAGGUUCCCUGCCCACUUAAAGACCAUGUUCAUCAGGAUACACCUGCUGAGUUUCCUGCUGUGAACAUCUGACAUGCAGCUGAUACAAAAGGACAGAACUGAGGGAGCAGAGAGCCAAAGAAUGAAAAAGGAUGCAAAAGAUGUUGGCAUUUUCCUGCUUACUUUUGUGAUGGUGCUAUGAUUCAAUGCAGGCUGAAAUGGCUUUGUCCUCACACUGGGUGCACAGCAAGAUGGAUGCUUGCUAUGUGGAACCCAGUGUCCCCUGCUCCAAGUGCUGCUCUCCCAUUUAACAAAGAGCUUUAUCCAAAUGGGUAGCUGACAUUAUUUCCUAAGGGCACAGACAUUCCUAACAAGGACGUCAAUGACAACUUCAAGCAUAGCAAAAAGAGUAUUCCUAUCAUUCUUCAAAGAAACGUUUUUACUUAUUACCUGUCACUGGGAAUACAAUAGGAAUCUUAAAGAUGACUUGGAGACGAUUUGGAAAAGCAAAACUUACAAUCUGCAAACUGCACAUAACAUUUCUUUGAGACACAAAAAGUUACUGAGGCUCCUGCCUGCAAGAGAGUGCCAUAAGCAUCCCUGCAGAUAUUUAUUCUGACCUCCUGGACCUUUGUCCGAGGCUCAUUCAUUGGGUUUAAAUAAAUAAGCAUUAACAAACCCAAGGCUCCACAUCUUCCACUGUCCUGCAUUGAGCCAAGAUCUUAAGCAAAGAGGCUUAAGUCACAUUUAUAUUUCCUUUGACCUAGAGACAGAGCACUGCUCAGUAUAUCCCAAUUACGGAGCAAAAAGACCUCUAUGGCUGUACAACCUUGCGUUCAGCUUCCUGAGAAAUCUUUAGAAAUUGCUGUAAAGGCAGAUCACCACAGGCUGGCAUUCCCUGCUUGCUGCAGACACUUUCACAUGCAGCACUGGCUGGGCAGAGCAGCCAGAGCCCCAGCCCUGACUUACUUGCACGACAGCCUCAGGAAUCCUCCUGGUGCUGCCUUGCCAGCCUUGGGUAGUGCUGCACUGCAGGAAUACAGUGCCCAGGCUCUCAGAGCCAGCCCUUGAGCUUUGGUAGCUGCCAGGACAAAAGACAAUCUCUAAAUGUCAGUCAAUAUAAUCUCACAGACAUCACCUAUAACUUUACCUGGGCUUACCUGGGUUGCUGUGGAGGGUAGGGCACUGUUUCCCCUGACAUUCACAACGAACGCGUGCACCAGAGAAUACGAGGCUCCUCGUACACAGCGUAUUGUUCUGGAUUUCCUAUUUCUUCAGGGUUGUCUUGGCAACGAAGAGGGUUUGCCGCUAGAGGUGUGUGAAACACUGGGUAACAAAAAACAUCACAACUCCCACUUGUUUCAUUCCAUCACCCUUUUAAACCUGACUCUUUUUCAACCUGGAACGCUCUCAGUGUGCUGUAUGUCAGCAGGGGCAGCACAAAUCAACGCAGACUCCUCUGCCUUCCCCUCUCCCCCAACAGAGUGAUUUUGAAAAUAACAAAAAAAUGACAUUUUUCAUUGGAAAAUGAUGUCUGUCCAAAUACUGUUACAUGCUCUGUUCCUAUUCUCCCUUCAACUACCUUCUUAGGGAAUAGUUCCCUGGCAGGCAAUGGAACUGACAGUUCUAGAAUGGAUGAAUGGAUUUAAGCAAAAUCAGGAUGGGAUUUUUCAUUUGUUUGCUUGUUUUAAUUAAUGACAUUUUUAGUAAUAUCAUUGAAGUCAAUGGGGUGACUGUGGACUGAUUUCAAUAUGACCACGUCUGCCAAUUUGCCCUAAACAAAAGGAGCCUUUCCUUUGUACAGAGAAGAGAUGCUGGACAGAGAAUGCUACACCUGGUCAGCAAACUAACGGAAGUGCCCCACUUGCCCUUCUGACUCAGCUCCUUCCAUGGACAAUAGACCUUUAUUUACUGUGGAUGAGGUCCUGGAGGUAUUCUGAAAAGUUUUUAAAGCAUCUGAGGAUGCACACAGAUGCAUCAACAUCACCUUGCUCAUUCAUGUAAUUUGCCUUUAUUUUUACUUACUGAAGGCAUUAAAGAAUUAACCCAAA